rnacentral:rRNA from 1 species
AUUGAACGCUGGCGGCAUGCCUUACACAUGCAAGUCGAACGGCAGCACGGGAGCAAUCCUGGUGGCGAGUGGCGAACGGGUGAGUAAAGCAUCGGAACGUGCCCAGUCGUGGGGGAUAACGUAGCGAAAGCUACGCUAAUACCGCAUACGAUCUGUGGAUGAAAGCGGGGGACCGUAAGGCCUCGCGCGAUUGGAGCGGCCGAUGUCAGAUUAGGUAGUUGGUGGGGUAAAGGCUCACCAAGCCGACGAUCUGUAGCUGGUCUGAGAGGACGACCAGCCACACUGGGACUGAGACACGGCCCAGACUCCUACGGGAGGCAGCAGUGGGGAAUUUUGGACAAUGGGCGCAAGCCUGAUCCAGCAAUGCCGCGUGCAGGAUGAAGGCCUUCGGGUUGUAAACUGCUUUUGUACGGAGCGAAACGGCUUCCACUAAUACUGGGGGCUAAUGACGGUACCGUAAGAAUAAGCACCGGCUAACUACGUGCCAGCCGCCGCGGUAACAC